rnacentral:rRNA from 1 species
UAGGGAAUCUUCGGCAAUGGACGAAAGUCUGACCGAGCAACGCCGCGUGAGUGAAGAAGGUUUUUCGGAUCGUAAAACUCUGUUGUUAGAGAAGAACAAGGGUGAGAGUAACUGUUCACCCCUUGACGGUAUCUAACCAGAAAGCCACGGCUAACUACGUGCCUG